rnacentral:lncRNA from 1 species
CCUGGCGGGAGAAACUUGCCUUCAGCCCAGAUGGCAGAGUGAGGACCAGAAAAGGCAAAGGGCAAAUUGGAGGCUGAGCCGAUCACCGAUCACCCAGGUAGCCCAAGCAGAGUGAAGGAAACCCAGCCGUGCUGAUGUCCGCGGGCAGGGCCGGUCAUCAUCCAC